rnacentral:rRNA from 1 species
AGUGAACGCUGGCGGUAGGCCUAACACAUGCAAGUCGAACGGCAGCACAGAGGAGCUUGCUCCUUGGGUGGCGAGUGGCGGACGGGUGAGGAAUACACCGGAAUCUACUCUGUCGUGGGGGAUAACGUAGGGAAACUUACGCUAAUACCGCAUACGACCUACGGGUGAAAGCAGGGGACCUUCGGGCCUUGCGCGAUUGAAUGAGCCGAUGUCGGAUUAGCUAGUUGGCGGGGUAAAGGCCCACCAAGGCGACGAUCCGUAGCUGGUCCGAGAGGAUGAGCAGCCACACUGGAACUGAGACACGGUCCAGACUCCUACGGGAGGCAGCAGUGGGGAAUAUUGGACAAUGGGCGCAAGCCUGAUCCAGCCACACCGCGUGGGUGAAGAAGGCCUUCGGGUUGUAAAGCCCUUUUGUUGGGAAAGAAAUCCAGCUGGCUAAUACCCGGUCGGGAUGACGGUACCCAAAGAAUAAGCACCGGCUAACUUCGUGCCAGCCGCCGCAGUAA